AAUCAACGCUGGCGGCGUGCCUCAGACAUGCAAGUCGAACGCGAAAGGCCCCUUCGGGGGCCGAGUAGAGUGGCGCACGGGUGAGUAACACGUAGGUAAUCUACCUCUGGGUGGGGAAUAACAGUCGGAAACGGCUGCUAAUACCGCAUAAUGCAGCGGCACCACAUGGUGACAGUUGUUAAAGCGGGGGAUCGUAAGGCCUCGCGCCUAGAGAUGAGCCUGCGGCGGAUUAGCUAGUUGGCAGGGUAACGGCCUACCAAGGCGACGAUCCGUAGCCGGCCUGAGAGGGCGGACGGCCACACUGGCACUGACAUACGGGCCAGACUCCUACGGGAGGCAGCAGUCGGGAAUUUUGGGCAAUGGGCGAAAGCCUGACCCAGCAACGCCGCGUGAAGGAUGAAGCUUCUCGGAGUGUAAACUUCAUAAGAAUGGGACGAAUAAGGA
rnacentral:rRNA from 1 species